rnacentral:rRNA from 1 species
GUAGGGAAUAUUGGACAAUGGGCGAAAGCCUGAUCCAGCAACGCCGCGUGCACGAUGAAGGUCUUCGGAUUGUAAAGUGCUUUUAAGGGAGAUGAGAAAGGACAGUAUCCCUUGAAUAAGCCUCGGCGAACUACGUGCCAGCAGCCGCGGUACAACGUAGGAGGCAAGCGUUCUCCGGAUUUAUUGGGCGUAAAGCGCGUGCAGGCUGUUUGGAAAGUUGGAUGUGAAAGCUCCUGGCUUAACUGGGAGAGGUCGUUAAAAACUACCAAACUAGAGAAUGGGAGAGGGAAGUGGAAUUCCGGGUGUAGUGGUGAAAGGCGUAGAUAUCCGGAGGAACACCAGUGGCGAAAGCGGCUUCCUGGACCAUUUCUGACGCUUAGACGCGAAAGCUAGGGGAGCGAACGGGAUUAGAAACCCCUGUAGUCC